GGACAUGCUGGCCCCUUCUGGGAGUGCGGAACGGCUGGGGCAGGCAGGGAGCCUGCCUGCGCUGCCGGAGAUCGUGAUCGACUGGGAGAAUCUCCAGGAUCUACUAGUCAAUUGCAAUUGACUGGAAAGAAUCCAGGCCCAUUUGAAGACUCUGAGGGAAGAGAGAGAAAAGCUCCUGGGAUUGAAAGCGACUGGAGAGGGGAAUAGCCAGGAGUAUCUG